AUGUACCACGCUUACACUCCGGUUCCUGCGCCCACCUGACGACUGCUCGCUACGUCUUGUUAGCC
rnacentral:sRNA from 1 species